GAUCCUGGCUCAGAACGAACGCUGGCGGCAUGCCUAACACAUGCAAGUCGAACGAACCCUUCGGGGUUAGUGGCGCACGGGUGCGUAACACGUGGGAAUCUGCCCUUUGCUUCGGAAUAACAGUUAGAAAUGACUGCUAAUACCGGAUGAUGCCGUAAGACCAAAGAUUUAUCGGCAAAGGAUGAGCCCGCGUAGGAUUAGGUAGUUGGUGGGGUAAAGGCCUACCAAGCCGACGAUCCUUAGCUGGUCUGAGAGGAUGAUCAGCCACACUGGGACUGAGACACGGCCCAGACUCCUACGGGAGGCAGCAGUGGGGAAUAUUGGACAAUGGGCGAAAGCCUGAUCCAGCAAUGCCGCGUGAGUGAUGAAGGCCUUCGGGUUGUAAAGCUCUUUUACCAGGGAUGAUAAUGACAGUACCUGGAGAAUAAGCUCCGGCUAACUCCGUG
rnacentral:rRNA from 1 species